rnacentral:lncRNA from 1 species
AGAGAAAGCUUCAGAUCUUUAUUUUCUAAUCGAAUAUUGAGUUUUCUCAUGGAGAAUCCACAGCCUUCCAAGACUGAAAGAUUGAGGGAAACAACAGAAAUUCACACAGCACAUAAAUCAAGCAAUCCGCUACUGCAAGAGGUACCGAUGGCCACCAAGUGGGAAGGCUUUAAAACAGGCUUAAAACUCCCUGAGGAUAAGCCUGUCAGUGGCCCCUAGCCACAGUGGCUGCGUCCAGCUUCGGAAACACCCAAGGCUGGGGUGGGGAUCGCAAGUGAGCAAGACAGCUACUGCGCUCGUGCCCUGCUCCCACCUGCGCGGCGACCGCAAGAGCAGCAUGCCGCAAUGGAAGGGUGACUGAGCUGCAGGGACCUUCCUCACAUUCUCAUAGACAGCCGAACUGAAUUAUAGAAUCAUAGAGUUGGAAGGGACCCCGGGGGUCAUCUAGUCUAACCCCUGCAAUGCUGGAAUCUUUUGCCCGACACAAAACUUGAACCCACGUCUCGUAAGAUUAAGCGACUCCUCAUGUUCUACCAACUGAGCUAUCCCAGCUAGCAAAGCCCGGUAUGGUUUCAUAUUGGAUGGGAUGUUAUUUCCCCGCCGCCCCCCCCCCAGACAUUGGAGCUUCCUGCAUUGCAGGGGACUGGGCUAGAUGACCACGGGGAUCCCUUCGAACGCUGCCAUUCUAGGAUUCGUAGCCUCGGACACCCGGUGGGCGGAGCCUCCAUCCUUGACGUCACUGCGUCUCUCGCAUGACACGUAGCGCGUAGGGCCAGCGCGGCGGCGGCGGCGUCUCCGCCUUCUGCUCCAGCUCCGCCCCAUUUUCCCCUCACCGGAAGUAGCCUCUGCCGCUGAGAAGGGAGGAGAUGCUACGUAGUUCCGGCGUGUCGCUGGCGGCUGAGGAGCGAGAGCGGAGGGGUGAGGGGGAGCCGUCGGAGCCGCUUGCCGCCGUCGUUGGUCGAGGCUGCUGCUGCCGCCCAGUCCGUUUAUUUGUUUUUGGGGUCCCCGAAGUCCCCAAGGCUCAGCUGCUGACAGCUCACCUUUCUCAUUUCCACCCUUCCCCUCCUCAAAAACAAAAAGGGUAGGUGGGGUAUUA